rnacentral:lncRNA from 1 species
UUCAGAUGGUUAUUACAGAGUUUCAUUUCACAUUUGGAGAGUAGAAACGGAGUUGGCAGGUAUGCUAUGAAUAUCACUGCUUAAUUUACACUAUCUAAUUUUAAUUGUUACAAUGAGAAGUAGUAGCAGUAGUAUCUAGUGAUGUGCCAAUUGAUUAAGGUUGUCUUUCUUGGAAAUCUACAAACUCUUUCAUUACAGAAAUCUAGUUCCAGAUCUGACAAGGUAGAAAAGGCACAAAAAUAAUUUAAAUAUCAUGGACAGUACCGUAUGCUCUCUUUUUUUUUUCAUGUAGUACAUGCAUCUUUUUACAUAUCAUAAGAUGCCUGAUACAAAGUGAACACACCCUUGUUAAUGAAAAGCUGAAGCUGUCAGUUACCAAUUCUAUGCACACUGCAAUUUUCUUUUUAGUGAAGUUGAAAAACUGAAUUCGUAGAAAACAUUACCUUCUCAUAUGAUCACCAAACUUUCUCAUAAUCAUUGCGAUACGUUGCCACGCAAGAUAAAUUCUAAAUAUUGUCUCCAGCAGUUGUUAGUUACUUAAAAUAGUUAAUAAGAGUUUGUAUUUGUUAAGCAGAAGAAAUUUAAAAGAGAAGACUAAGAAGAUAGAAAAAGAGGUUGAGUAUGAUUUCUUUCCUCAAUUGAAUUCAAUCUCCAAACCUUAUUCUGUGUGUUUAGUUUUUUACCUCUUGAAUUAAAUAAUCAAGAGAUUGUUCAAAACAAUACAAACUCAAAAACAAUUCCAAUCACACUGGUUAGAACUCAAAAAGACCACACUGUUUAGCCAAUCUGUCAUAGAUAUGAAAGAAAUUAAUUACAUAAAAUCUCAUAAUUUAUUAUGAAAUCUCAAGAGAAUCAAUUUUCUAUUUAUGAACCAUGAACCAGCAUAACAAUUUCCUUAUUAUUGACCACUUUGUCCACAUUUAUUAAUUAUCCUUGUAAAUGAAGCAGUAGGUUUUUGGAUACCAUGGAUCUGUGCACAAAUCCUAUUCUUUCAGAAUCAGAAGCAUGGAAUUGGUAUUGAAGAAGAGUAAUUCAACACGAUGAUGCUUAUACUGGCUUGAAUCUUCUUGUUUGGUGAGUAUAAACCCUUUACUCUGUAAACAUGCUUAUAGUCCAUACUCAUAUUACCUAAUGUAAAAUGACCAGAAAUCUCAUCAGAAGCAUCAGAGCGAAAAAAGCUUGAUGGGUCGCUUACCAAUAUAGAAUGACACACAAAAUAGCACUGCUUUUGAGGCGUCAGAUAGCGAGAGAGGACAGGAAAAUAUUAUCAAGAAAUAAGCCUGCGAACUUCCAAACUACGUAGUCCACAGUGUCUGUUUGGACAAUCGUUGAAAAGUAGUAUGAAAUUACCUUUACACUAAGUGUAGAUACUAUAUUAGCUUUUCAGUUAAAAGUUACAUCUAAAAUGAGAAACCAAAUUAACAUGCUUGGAACUGCAUCUAUUAUUCCAUAAAUCGUACGGACCCAUAGGUUAGAAUCUAGCACAUCAAAAUUAAAGCAGUGGAGACACCAAGUUUGAUGCUAAAAACAGUCUCAAGAAUCAACCACUGAAUGAUUCUAUCACAUCACCUAUAAACCUGGUUCAAACCAUUUGAGAGAUUUACAGAUAGUAGCUGCAUUGAAAUAGGAAGAUUCAAGUGACACCUUAAAAAUAUGUGCACCAUAGCAGGUUACUUGUCCGUUAAACCGAUUGGCAGCAGAACCCGUUGGUUUUGGAUAUGAUGAGUGUUGCAGUCAUGGGGCCAACCACAUGGACCAGGGGUCUCUUGGCCUUCAAUUUUAUGCCUACUGGCAAGCAAAUCACUUACUCCAGAUUUGGACUCAACCUAAAAUGCCAUGUUGAAAGGGACCAGUGCAGGUUGCUCACAAAUCACCAACAGACACUACUUCAAUAUUUUGUCUCCAACCAUGUACAAAAAGUCUUGAAAGUAAUAUUAAUGCAUGCAUGUCAAAAGGCACCACUCUUUGAUGUAUCAUUUGUAGCACUGGUCCCAAUAGGAAAAGAUUCCUUCCCUUCUUAUCGAUUACAGUCUUACUCUUGUUGGUGAAUGCGAGUCCCAGGUCUUUUUUUUCUCACAUAUUUUCUUUCAGACACAAUUCUGUUUGGGGAAUAAUUGAAUAAGAAAUAUAAACACUUCUUCCAAUGGAAGACUUGUACUCUCGUUUGUCACGUUAUGGGGACUAACCUUUUUUGCAGGUCCAGGUUUUCUGCAGAGAAGGAGUAGUAUCACCUAAAUAUCACGAUGGCAACUUCUCAAUGUGUCUACAUCCCUCUAGAAUUGCACAUGGCUAAUUUGAAGCAAUUGCGAUCGAUGUCAUUUUCAUACAAUGAAUGAGAUAUAUAGUCACUUAGGAGCCUUCUGAUUCCCGCACUUCAAAGGCCACUUCUGCCACUUGCUUAAGGCAUGUUUAACGUAUUGUCGCAUUUAAAGAUGAACUACAGUAAGUAAAACACCCCUCUAGUAUCAACUUGAAAGAAAAGAAGUUGACAAAACUGUCAACACAUGAAAGCUCCCAGCUCAUAAUGAGAAUGCCAUGUCUUCUUGUCAGUGAGAGUUUCAUGUCAACUUUUCAAGACAUGAGAACGCCUUAUAUUCUUGUAGUGCUUCAUGGUGAAGAUGGAGACAAUAUAAUAUGCAAUUGGUAGUCGUUGCAUUCGGUGAGCAAAAUAUAAAAGUGAUUGUGCAUCUCGAAUAAACAUGGUUUAAUAUGUUAGAAGGUGAAUAUUUGAAAUGUGACAUGACCGCAAAUAAAACUAGCAGAACCAAGCUUGAGAAUGGUAUCACACAUUUUUUUUAGUUUAGCAAUCAUUUAUAUAGGUUGAAAUGCCUUCUCAUUUAAUUUGGAUGGUGGGUCCUUUGCCAUAUAAUGAAGUUCUGUCUCGAGGAAAGUCAACUCAUGAUUCAUUAACCAGUUCAUGUUUUUC